rnacentral:lncRNA from 1 species
UUAUCAUGGCGGCUCCCUUGGUCCUGGUGCUGGUGGUGGCUGUGACAGUGCGGGCGGCCUUGUUCCGCUCCAGUCUGGCCGAGUUCAUUUCCGAGCGGGUGGAGGUGGUGUCCCCACUGAGCUCUUGGAAGAGAGUGGUUGAAGGCCUUUCACUGUUGGACUUGGGAGUAUCUCCGUAUUCUGGAGCAGUAUUUCAUGAAACUCCAUUAAUAAUAUACCUCUUUCAUUUCCUAAUUGACUAUGCUGAAUUGGUGUUUAUGAUAACUGAUGCACUCACUGCUAUUGCCCUGUAUUUUGCAAUCCAGGACUUCAAUAAAGUUGUGGUAAGUAGUUUGUGGGUGGAGCAAAGCUGGUGGAAUUUGGUAACCUUCUGGUCUUUGUUAUUACAAAGAUCUUAUACUUAAGGAUCCAGAUGCUUUAAAGUGCUAGGAAGUGAUGGUGAAACUUCUGGCCUGUUCAGCCAGCUCUGGAAUGAUCAACCCCAAACCCACAAGACAGCUUUACUAACAGAUAAAGAAGGGCCAGCUUCAUCUAUGUAGCUUAUUAAUAACUAUUAAUAUCCACAUACCUGUGCAAGUUCAGACUUCUGGAGUAGUGCUGAAUAACAGUUAUAUUACCUGUCGUUAAUGAGGACCCUUAAAAAUCUUCUAGUCUUUCACCAGUCUUUUUUUUUUUUUUUUUUUUUUGCAUAGGAAGAUAAAUACAGCUUUUAAGUCACUGUUAUGCCUAUCUGAGGUAAAAUUGGAUUCUCAAUGUCAUUUCUGUCUCCCUGCAGAAAGUAAUCUUAAUUGGAAAAUUUGACAUGUAUUAAAUGCCUGAUAUAAACUUCAGUCUUAAUCCAUAUGUAAUAGCCAAGGAGAAUUGCAUAGUGGGACCAUUCUUCUUUUCCUGGGGUCUGAGAAAGUUAACAGAUUAACCAU